rnacentral:rRNA from 1 species
AAGUGGUAGGAGAGCGUUCUAUUUGCGUCGAAGGUAUACCGGUAAGGAGUGCUGGAGCGAAUAGAAGUGAGCAUGCAGGCAUGAGUAGCGAUAAUUAAUGUGAGAAUCAUUAACGCCGUAAACCCAAGGUUUCCUACGCGAUGCUCGUCAUCGUAGGGUUAGUCGGGUCCUAAGUCGAGUCCGAAAGGGGUAGACGAUGGCAAAUUGGUUAAUAUUCCAAUACCAACAUUAGUGUGCGAUGGAAGGACGCUUAGGGCUAAGGGGGCUAGCGGAUGGAAGUGCUAGUCUAAGGUCGUAGGAGGUUAUACAGGCAAAUCCGUAUAACAAUACUCCGAGAACUGAAAGGCUUUUUGAAGUCUUCGGAUGGAUAGAAGAACCCCUGAUGCCAUCGAGCCAAGAAAAGUUUCUAAGUUUAGCUAAUGUUGCCCGUACCGUAAACCGACACAGGUGGGUGGGAUGAGUAUUCUAAGGCGCGUGGAAGAACUCUCUUUAAGGAACUCUGCAAAAUAGCACCGUAUCUUCGGUAUAAGGUGUGGUUCGCUUCGUAUUAGGAUUUACUCCGAAAGCGAAGAAACUUACAACAAAGAGUCCCUCCCGACUGUUUACCAAAAACACAGCACUCUGCUAACUCGUAAGAGGAUGUAUAGGGUGUGACGCCUGCCCGGUGCUCGAAGGUUAAUUGAUGGGGUUAGCAUUAGCGAAGCUCUUGAUCGAAGCCCGAGUAAACGGCGGCCGUAACUAUAACGGUCCUAAGGUAGCGAAAUUCCUUGUCGGUUAAAUACCGACCUGCAUGAAUGGCGUAACGAGAUGGGAGCUGUCUCAAAGAGGGAUCCAGUGAAAUUGUAGUGGAGGUGAAAAUUCCUCCUACCCGCGGCAAGACGGAAAGACCCCGUGGACCUUUACUACAGCUUGACACUGCUAUUUGGAUAAGAAUGUGCAGGAUAGGUGGGAGGCUUUGAGUAUAUGACGCCAGUUGUAUAUGAGCCAUUGUUGAGAUACCACUCUUUCUUAUUUGGGUAGCUAACCAGCUUGAGUUAUCCUCAAGUGGGACAAUGUCUGGUGGGUAGUUUGACUGGGGCGGUCGCCUCCCAAAUAAUAACGGAGGCUUACAAAGGUUGGCUCAGAACGGUUGGAAAUCGUUCGUAGAGUAUAAAGGUAUAAGCCAGCUUAACUGCAAGACAUACAAGUCAAGCAGAGACGAAAGUCGGUCUUAGUGAUCCGGUGGUUCUGUGUGGAAGGGCCAUCGCUCAAAGGAUAAAAGGUACCCCGGGGAUAACAGGCUGAUCUCCCCCAAGAGCUCACAUCGACGGGGAGGUUUGGCACCUCGAUGUCGGCUCAUCGCAUCCUGGGGCUGGAGCAGGUCCCAAGGGUAUGGCUGUUCGCCAUUUAAAGCGGUACGCGAGCUGGGUUCAGAACGUCGUGAGACAGUUCGGUCCCUAUCUGCCGUGGGCGUAAGAAGAUUGAAGAGAUUUGACCCUAGUACGAGAGGACCGGGUUGAACAAACCACUGGUGUAGCUGUUGUUCUGCCAAGAGCAUCGCAGCGUAGCUAAGUUUGGAAAGGAUAAACGCUGAAAGCAUCUAAGCGUGAAGCCAACUCUAAGAUGAAUCUUCUCUAAGCUCUCUAGAAGACUACUAGUUUGAUAGGCUGGGUGUGUAAUGGAUGAAAGUCCUUUAGCUGACCAGUACUAAUAGAGCGUUUGGCUUAUCUUUAAUAAAGCAU